rnacentral:rRNA from 1 species
CCUACGGGUGGCAGCAGUGGGGGAUAUUGCACAAUGGGGGGAACCCUGAUGCAGCGACGCCGCGUGGGUGAAGGAGCGUUUCGGCGCGUAAAGCCCUAUCGGCAGGGAAGAAGGAGGACGGUACAUGACGAAGAAGCCCCGGCCAACCACGUGCCAGCAGCCGCGGUAAUACGUAGGGGGCAAGCGUUAUCCGGAAUUACUGGGGGUAAAGGGGGCGCAGGCGGCAGCGCAAGACAGGAGUGAAAGCCCGGGGCGCAACCCCGUGACUGCUCUUGGAACUGCGCGGCUGGAGUGCAGGAGGGGCAGGUGGAAUUCCUGGUGCAGCGGUGAAAUGCGUAGAUAUCAGGAGGAA